GAUGAACGCUGGCGGCGUGCCUAAUACAUGCAAGUCGAGCGAAUGGAUUAAGAGCUUGCUCUUAUGAAGUUAGCGGCGGACGGGUGAGUAACACGUGGAUAACCUGCCCAUAAGACUGGGAUAACUCCGGGAAACCGGGGCUAAUACCGGAUAACAUUUUGAACCGCAUGGUUCGAAAUUGAAAGGCGGCUUCGGCUGUCACUUAUGGAUGGACCCGCGUCGCAUUAGCUAGUUGGUGAGGUAACGGCUCACCAAGGCAACCAUGCGUAGCCGACCUGGGAGGGGGAUCGGCCACACUGGGACUGAGACACGGCCCAGACUCCUACGGGAGGCAGCAGUAGGGAAUCUUCCGCAAUGGACGAAAGUCUGACGGAGCAACGCCGCGUGAGUGAUGAAGGCUUUCGGGUCGUAAAACUCUGUUGUUAGGGAAGAACAAGUGCUAGUUGAAUAAGCUGACACCUUGACGGUACCUAACCAGAAAGCCACGGCUAACUACGUGCCAGCCGCCGCAGUAA
rnacentral:rRNA from 1 species